UAAGGAAUAUUGGACAAUGGACGCAAGUCUGAUCCAGCCAUGCCGCGUGAAGGAUGAAUGUCCUCUGGAUUGUAAACUUCUUUUAUAGGGGGCGAAAGUGAGUUUUUCUAAGCUUUUUGACGGUACCCUAUGAAUAAGCACCGGCUAACUCCGUG
rnacentral:rRNA from 1 species